rnacentral:rRNA from 1 species
AUUGAACGCUGGCGGCAGGCCUAACACAUGCAAGUCGGACGAGCGGCGGACGGGUGAGUAAUGUAUGGGGAUCUGCCUUAUGGAGGGGGAUAACUACUGGAAACGGUAGCUAAUACCGCAUACCAUCAGAUGAACCCAUGUGGGAUUAGCUUGUUGGUGAGGUAACGGCUCACCUAGCCGACGAUCCCUAGCUGGUCUGAGAGGAUGAUCAGCCACACUGGGACUGAGACACGGCCCAGACUCCUACGGGAGGCAGCAGUGGGGAAUAUUGCGCAAUGGGCGCAAGCCUGACGCAGCCAUGCCGCGUGAAUGAAGAAGGCCUUCGGGUUGUAAAGUUCUUUCAGUAGGGAGGCGUUACCUACAGAAGAAGCACCGGCUAACUCCGUGCCAGCAGCCGCGGUAAUAC